GCUAGUGGGUCAUAGCAGAGGUGGGGGACUCGAGUCACUUGACUUGACUCCAGUCAGACUCGAGUCGCAAAUUUGAGGACUUGAGACUUGCUUGACUUACAUUGAUAAAAGACUCGACUUGACUUUGACUCAGUAUUCAUGACUUGAGACUUGACUUAGACUUGAGACAGAUGACUCGAAAGGACUUGACUUUUUUUUUAUUAAAUAUUUUUAAUUUUUCUAGGUAUUGAGAUGUUCCGUUUUGUUUUUGAAACAUUGGGGGAUUUCUAGUACAAUGCGAGCAAACCUGGCAACCUACUAGGACACAGCAGAGGCCAACGCAGGAGGCAGCGAGCUGUCAUGGAGGGGCCUAGUACAAAAAUCAUAAAAUUUGGAUUCAAAAAUGAUGUUGUCGAUGACGGUAGUAAGAAGAGAACAGCGGUAUGCGAGGUCUGCGGCUCAAAAAUCAGUAACACGACCACCGCAACAUCCAACUUCAUCCGUCACCACAAACCCACAAAGAAAAGAAGCUACCACAGACAGUGGCUCGGCCUCCUCUUCAUCAUCCUCUUCCCCCCUCUGGUGUGAAAUAGUGGGAGCUUCAUCACUGGCCUGUCCCACUCAAUCAUAGAAAUGGGAUGGCCUUUUAUUCAUCUUGCUCUGUUGCCUGGGAACUAAAACUCCCCUCCGUUCCACGCUGCAUUGAGCUUUAAACAUCCAGGUGAGGCUCAGACACCAAUCAGGAAAGAGACGACAUGAUUACAUGAUAGGAUUCAUCUGGGGAUGAACCGCCAGGACACCAGACUCACAAGAACAACCGUCAGAACCAACCAGCAACACAGUACAGAAUAUCUAGAGAGACCAAGACCGCAAAAAUAUGACAAUAUGACAAGAGCCAUACCAUACAAAUUAAAGAAUGGCGACACACUCAACCACAACACAUUAUUAUGCUCAAUUUUUGUAUUGGCACAAAAGGUGAAGAUGGAGUGAAAUGUACUUAGAAAAAGCUAGGUAAGAAUUUACACAGGAAUUCUGAGUAGAUUUUACAGAUGAUAUUUCAAGUAAACUCUACUUGG